GUGGAUUAGAUACCCUGGUAGUCCACGCCCUAAACGAUGCGAACUGGACGUUGGGCUCAACUAGGAGCUCAGUGUCGAAGCUAACGCGUUAAGUUCGCCGCCUGGGGAGUACGGUCGCAAGACUGAAACUCAAAGGAAUUGACGGGGGCCCGCACAAGCGGUGGAGUAUGUGGUUUAAUUCGAUGCAACGCGCAGAACCUUACCUGGCCUUGACAUCCAGUGAACUUUCCAGAGAUGGAUUGGUGCCUUCGGGAACACUGAGACAGGUGCUGCACGGUCGUCGACAACU
rnacentral:rRNA from 1 species